GUGGGGAAUAUUGGGCAAUGGGGGAAACCCUGACCCAGCGACGCCGCGUGAGGGAAGAAGGCCUUAGGGUCGUAAACCUCUGUUGUGUGGGAAGAAGAGCGUGACGGUACCACACGAGGAAGUCCCGGCUAACUACGUGCCAGCAGCCGCGGUAAUACGUAGGGCACGAGCGUUGUCCGGAUUUACUGGGCGUAAAGGGCGCGUAGGCGGUCAGUUAAGUCAGCUGUGAAAUGGUUUGGCUUAAACGGAUCAUGCGGUUGAAACUGGAUGACUGGAGUGCUGGAGAGGCAAGUGGAAUUCCCAGUGUAGCGGUGAAAUGCGUAGAUAUUGGGAAGAACACCGGUGGCGAAGGCGACUUGCUGGCCAGCAACUGACGCUGAGGCGCGAAAGCCAGGGGAGCAAACGGGAUUAGAUACCCCAGUAGUCC
rnacentral:rRNA from 1 species